AUUGAACGCUGGCGGCAUGCUUUACACAUGCAAGUCGAACGGCAGCGCGGGCUUCGGCCUGGCGGCGCGUGGCGAACGGGUGAGUAAUGCAUCGGAACGUGCCCAGCAGUGGGGGAUAGCCCGGCGACAGCCGGAUUAAUACCGCAUACGACCUGAGGGUGAAAGCGGGGGACCGAAAGGCCUCGCGCGCUUGGAGCGACCGAUGUCGGAUUAGCUAGUUGGUGGGGUAAAGGCUUACCAAGGCGACGAUCCGUAGCUGGUCUGAGUGGACGACCAGCCACACUGGGACUGAGACACGGCCCAGACUCCUACGGGAGGCAGCAGUGGGGAAUUUUGGACAAUGGGGGCAACCCUGAUCCAGCCAUGCCGCGUGCGGGAAGAAGGCCUUCGGGUUGUAAACCGCUUUUGUUCGGGAAGAAAUCCUCUGGGCUAAUACCCCGGGGGGAUGACGGUACCGGAAGAAUAAGCACCGGCUAACUACGUG
rnacentral:rRNA from 1 species